CAUUCACCACCGUCCCAUAAGUCAAGGAUGCACCGGCCACUCCUCGCUUGCCUGGGCACCAGAGCCACUGCCCCCUCCUCGCUUGCAUGGGAGUCACCAUCGCUGCCCCCACCCGGACGCCCAGACUUCUUGCCGCCGACGACGUUGAAGGUUCUCCCCCGAGCCUUGCCGCCAAGGUCCGCGUCAGGCGCAGGAGUUAACGGCGAGGCGCCAUUCUGCCGCCGCCGUGCAGUUACAGCCACGAUCCACAUUCGAGCAGUCUGCUGCCUGAUUUUUAGUGCUGAUCAAGGCUUAGAGGCCGUACACCUCACCAACCUGCAGUUCCUGCUUGGUCUGCUAUGUACGGGAAAUAUUAGAUCAUGGAUGACCUGAGACGGAGGUGCCGGAUGAGUCCGGCGUAGAUUUGCUUCAAGUUCAAGCAGAGCGUCAGCGUACGUACUCGUCUCUAAAGUCUCAGAUUCUCUUUAAAACCUCAAUAUAAGAUUGAGUUUCUUAUGUUGUAAUUGGAAUGUUCUCUGAAGAGUUUCGGAGAAUAUUUUGUACUAACCUGACUGUCGCAAUUCUAGAACAUUGAUACAUGCUUGAAUUACCAACCCAUAAAAAACUUGAAUUAUGAUGUAAUUUUGCUGGUUAAUGUGAUGUAUUUUUCUGGCUGAUCGAGUUUCCAUGCCUUCCUAAUUCCAAAAUUCAUUGUCCGCAUAUGAAGUCAUUUUUGCCUGUGGACUAGGUGGUUCAGUUCUUGCUUUACUCAUCUCUUUCAGACCAUAGGUUGGACCAUGACUUUACAGUAAAUGAUCAACCAGAUAUUGACAUUCUAAUAGAUGAGAAAACUUUCGAUGCCAAAUAAUUUCUUAAUAAUAGUUACACUGUGCAUCCUUUGUCUGAGAUAGGUAAUUAUGAAGAUGUUUAUGAGAUGGAGGACGUUAGGUCAGCAGAUGCAAAUGUUGAAAAUACCACUCACAAAUUUGAUGCUGCUCGAAAAACGGAUAUUGAUCUUGCAAGCCCUAUGUUUCAUCAAGAAUAUAAAAAGUACGAGCUGAGAAUUUUCCAACUGAAGAACUGAUGAUAUUAAGCCAAAGUUCUUACAGAAAGGUCCACACUAAACAGAAAAAUACAGAACAGCCCAAAAGGACCCCGAUGUCGACGCCGGCGGGAAGAACGCAUCGAUGGUGCGCGCCGCUGCGCCUCCACUCAGACCUUGGAUCGGUAGGUGCCCUCUGCGGACGGGAAGUCUUCGAAACUCGGCUCCGGAGAGCCUCCAUCCUGCACCGCCACGAGAAUCGCCAUCGCCUUGAGCAACAUCAUCUCCUCCUUCGAUUUCUUCACAAAGCCGGCGCCGCCGCACCUCGAAAGC